rnacentral:rRNA from 1 species
CAGUAGCCGCGGGAAUACGUAGGGUGCAAGCGUUAAUCGGAAUUACUGGGCGUAAAGCGUGCGCAGGCGGUUAUAUAAGACAGAUGUGAAAUCCCCGGGCUCAACCUGGGAACUGCAUUUGUGACUGUAUAGCUAGAGUACGGCAGAGGGGGAUGGAAUUCCGCGUGUAGCAGUGAAAUGCGUAGAUAUGCGGAGGAACACCGAUGGCGAAGGCAAUCCCCUGGGCCUGUACUGACGCUGAUGCACGAAAGCUGGGGGAGCAAACAGGAUUAGAUACCCCUGUAGUCCCUGUCUCUUAUAC